rnacentral:tRNA from 1 species
GGAGUGGUGGCCGAGUGGUCCAAGGCGCUGCAACCUCUGUUAUUACGACUAUUCACUGUGCAGUCUGCUUUAGUGCAGUCGUGGGUUCAAAUCCCUCCCUCUCCC